rnacentral:rRNA from 1 species
CAGUAGCCGCGGUAAUACGUAGGUCCCGAGCGUUGUCCGGAUUUAUUGGGCGUAAAGCGAGCGCAGACGGUUAUUUAAGCAGGAUGUGAAAUCCCCGGGCUUAACCUGGGAACUGCGUUCUGAACUGGAUAGCUAGAGUGUGUCAGAGGGGGGUAGAAUUCCACGUGUAGCAGUGAAAUGCGUAGAGAUGUGGAGGAAUACCGAUGGCGAAGGCAGCCCCCUGGGAUAACACUGACGUUCAUGCUCGAAAGCGUGGGUAGCAAACAGGAUUAGAUACCCGCGUAGUCCCUGUCUCUUAUAA